UUGAUUGGUGCUUGCAUCAUGAUUUACAUUUGAGUGAGUGGCGAACUGGUGAGUAACACGUGGGAAACCUGCCCAGAAGCGGGGGAUAACACCUGGAAACAGAUGCUAAUACCGCAUAACAACUUGGACCGCAUGGUCCGAGUUUGAAAGAUGGCUUCGGCUAUCACUUUUGGAUGGUCCCGCGGCGUAUUAGCUAGAUGGUGGGGUAACGGCUCACCAUGGCAAUGAUACGUAGCCGACCUGAGAGGGUAAUCGGCCACAUUGGGACUGAGACACGGCCCAAACUCCUACGGGAGGCAGCAGUAGGGAAUCUUCCACAAUGGACGAAAGUCUGAUGGAGCAACGCCGCGUGAGUGAAGAAGGGUUUCGGCUCGUAAAACUCUGUUGUUAAAGAAGAACAUAUCUGAGAGUAACUGUUCAGGUAUUGACGGUAUUUAACCAGAAAGCCACGGCUAACUACGUGCCAGCAGCCGCGGUAAUACGUAGGUGGCAAGCGUUGUCCGGAUUUAUUGGGCGUAAAGCGAGCGCAGGCGGUUUUUUAAGUCUGAUGUGAAAGCCUUCGGCUCAACCGAAGAAGUGCAUCGGAAACUGGGAAACUUGAGUGCAGAAAAGGACAGUGGAACUCCAUGGUGUAG
rnacentral:rRNA from 2 species